GGACUACACGGGUUUCUAAUCCUGUUUGCUCCCCACGCUUUCGUGCCUCAACGUCAGGAAUGAGCCAAGAAGCUGCCUUCGCCAUUGGUGUUCCUCCUGAGAUCCACGCAUUUUACCGCUACUCCAGGAAUUCCACUUCUCUCUCUCACCCUCUAGCACGCCAGUUUUCAUUGCGGAACUCCGGUUAGGCCAAAGUCUUUAACAACGAACUUAACAUACCGUCUACGCACCCUUUACGCCCAAUGAUUCCGAAUAACGUUUGCACCCUUCGUAUUACCGCGGCUGCUGGCAC
rnacentral:rRNA from 1 species